rnacentral:snRNA from 1 species
GGAGGGGCCGAUAAAGCAAAAGGGGUAAGAUACAAAGACAAUAAGAUCUCAAGGGUUGAUUUGACUGAUCUGGCUGGCUAAGUGGGUGUUCCCUUCCUUCCUCACUACUCCAUGUGUGUCCCUUUCGAAACUGGGUGCGAGGUGGAAGAGGAUGACCUUUCCUAUAGAAGAGACUAUUCUUUGGUCAAGGGUACAUGACCCUGCUAGAGUUCCCAAACAAGCUCCCAAGUUCCAUUUGUAAGAGAACGCAGGGUAGUCAAGCUUUGAGACUGUAGACCCAUCCAAAUGAGGCACUGCCUGGAUAGUCCGUCUUUCUUU